rnacentral:lncRNA from 1 species
AGAUUUGCUCUUCUGUUUAUAGUCUCAACAAAGUGAAUCUUAUAAGCAUUCAAACAUUUUAGCAGUAAUCCUUCAGGUGGUUCUGUGACCAAUGCAUUGUCAUCAAUUUCUUCUGAAUUGUCUCUCAGGAAUGUAGUACACCAGAAGAGGGUGCUGGAUCCCAUGGAGCUGGAGUUACAGGUCAUUUCGAGAUGCCUGAACUGAAUUCUGGGUCCUCUUCAAGAGUCGUAUGCAAUUUUAAUCUUUGAGCCAUCUCUCUAGCCCAAAAGUUUGAAUUGCAUUUCAUGCAUUCAUGCAUGCAUGCAUUCAUUGGGUGGGGAGGCACACAACUCACAGGUUGCAUGUUGUCAGGUGGCAUGGUGGAGAGAAAUCUGGAGGUUCCUGAAGCAGGAUUACCUGAGCUCAGCCUUAUAUUUGGCUAUAGGUCUCUAUCUGUUUCUAUCAGUUACUGGAUGAAGACUCUCUGAUGGCAAUUGGGGAUUCCAUGGAACUGAAGUUAUUGUCCAAAGAUCAUAGGGUCAGUGACAUUCCAUAAGAAAAUGUCUUCAGUGCCUCAAGACUUUAAAGAGGGUCUGGAUCCAGACAAUAUAGUACCUUCACACAAAGGCAUGAAGAUGGUGAUCAGAAGUUCAAGGUUAUCUUCGGCUACAUAGUGAGUUUGGGGCCAGGACUAUAUGAGAAAAGAAGACAGCUGCAGAUCCCACUACACCAUUUAAGGCACAGAAGAAACAGCAGCUAGUCAGCAAGCCUGCAAUAAAACCUUCUCUCUCUUCAGUUACAUUGAGCAAAAAUAGAAAAGCUAUUGAAACAAAGACUAAAGAAAAUUCAAGACCGUGAGCUUCAAGUGUGACUCCUAUGGAUUUCAGUCUUCCUGAUGCUGGACCUGUUAUUCUUGUACUCCUGUAUAUCCAUGAGAGUUUUCUUCCUGUUCUGUCAAGAUAAUUUUGUGCUGAGGAGGAGGAAGUGGAGUUUUCUGUUUGGGAGCUGAAAGCCUGGAUUCUUACAUAUGUACCUUAACAUUGGUGCUGACUGUGCUAUACAAUUAACAUGUACACAGGCUUCUAUCAUCUGUAUUCCCCCAGAAAACAUCACCAAAUACAAGAAAAUUCUAAAUGUAG